rnacentral:lncRNA from 1 species
CGAGUCAAAACAAACUGACACAAAUUAAAAAUAUCAAACUUAACCAGAUCAAAGAGACAAAUGACCGAAUAAAUCAUGUCAAAGUGGUAACUUGCACCAGCCUAUCAAAAUUUUCCACAACCAAUAUCAUAGUUCAAAUAAGAAAUUUCAAUUUACUUGAAACUCAUACCCGACAACUCUGACUAAGAAACAUUACCCACGCAGGUCACAGAAUCAUAACAUCCACCAUCCACUUAACAGACCGAACAAAACAUAUAGAGAUGCAGUUGAACAAAUCAAACAGAAUGACAAUCAACCAAUUCGGACGACUAGCAAACAUGUUCUCAAACUAUUGAGAACUCAAAGCGGAAGCAACCAAUGAUUCAAGGUGGAUCGAAACUAGCUCUCGAUACCAUGUUAGAAUUAAAGAUACAAACUAAGAAUAACAAAGGAGGCAAUUAGGGUUACAUAAAAUUAGAAUUGCAUUGCUUGACAAAAUAAGGAUUACAAGACAAU